rnacentral:rRNA from 1 species
GUGGAGCAAUCCAUGAGUACAGUGGCGCACGGGUGAGUAACACGUGAAUAAUCUACCUCCGAGUGGGGAAUAACUUAGGGAAACCUGAGCUAAUACCGCAUAACACUUACGAGUCAAAGCAGCAAUGCGCUUGGAGAGGAGUUCGCGGCAGAUUAGUUAGUUGGCGGGGUAAUGGCCCACCAAGACGAUGAUCUGUAUCCGGCCUGAGAGGGCGCACGGACACACUGGAACUGAAACACGGUCCAGACUCCUACGGGAGGCAGCAGUGGGGAAUUUUGCGCAAUGGGGGAAACCCUGACGCAGCAACGCCGCGUGGAGGAUGAAAUCCCUUGGGAUGUAAACUCCUUUCGAUCGGGACGAUUAUGACGGUACCGGAAGAAGAAGCCCCGGCUAACUUCGUGCCAGCAGCCGCGGUAAUACGAGGGGGGCGAGCGUUGUUCGGAAUUAUUGGGCGUAAAGGGUGCGUAGGCGGUUUGAUAAGUCUGAUGUGAAAUCUAUGGGCUCAACCCAUAGUCUGCAUUAGAAACUGUCGGGCUUGAGUAUGGGAGAGGUGAGUGGAAUUUCCGGUGUAGCGGUGAAAUGCGUAGAUAUCGGAAGGAACACCUGUGGCGAAAGCGGCUCACUGGACCAUUACUGACGCUGAUGCACGAAAGCUAGGGGAGCAAACAGGAUUAGAUACCCUGGUAGUCCUAGCCCUAAACGAUGAUUGCUUGAUGUGGAGGGUACCCAAUCCUUCCGUGUCGUAGCU